CAGACAAGAACAAAUAGCAGCAGGAACGGUUAUACAGCUGGAGACACAAUACUGUUAAAAUAUAUAUCAUAACAAAUAGCAGCAGGAAUGGUUAUAGAGCUGGAGACACAAUAAUGUUAAAAUAUAUAUCAGUGUAUUAUGGAAACCAGUUAUUGCAGGUAAAUACGAUUAUAAUAAUAAAUUCAGUAAGGUUCACAUUUGCACUAAAAUGACCAUGAACGGGCAAUCAGUUGGGUAUAAAACCCACUACAGUAGGUAUUGUAUGGUUUCAGUUGGGUAUAAAACCCACUACAGUAGGUAUUGUAUGGUUUCAGUUGGGUAUAAAACCCACUACAGUAGGUGUUUUAUGGUUUCAGUUGGGUAUAAAACCCUCUACAGUAGGUAUUGUAUGGUUUCAGUUGGGUAUAAAAUCCACUACAGUAGGUGUUUUAUGGUUUCAGUUGCGUAUAAAACCCACUACAGUAGGUAUUUUAUGGUUUCAGUUGGGUAUAAAAUCCACUACAGUAGGUAUUUUAUGGUUUCAGUUGGGUAUAAAACCCACUACAGUAGGUAUUUUAUGGUUUCAGUUGGGUAUAAAACCCACUACAGUAGGUAUUUUAUGGUUUCAGUUGGGUAUAAAACCCACUACAGUAGACAUUGUAUGGUUUCAGUUGGGUAAUAAACCCACUACAGUAGGUAUUUUAUGGUUUCAGUUGGGUAUAAAACCCACUACAGUAUGUAUUGUAUGGUUACAGUUGCAGAUAAUCAUGUGGUUACAUAUUCAUUUGCAGACCGGAGCCCAAGACACCUUGAUUACACAGAUCACACAGAGGAGAGGUUCUGAUUUUCAUUAAAUGAUGUGUUCUAGGUGGAAGGUCUUCAUUACACAGAUCACACAGAGGAGAGGUUCUGAUUUUCAUUAAAUUAUGUUUUCUAGGUGUGAAGGUCUUCAUUACAUCACACAGAGGAGAGGUUCUGAUUUUCAUUACAUGAUGUUUUCUAGGUGGAAGGUCUUCAUUACAUAGAUCACACAGAGGAGAGGUUCUGAUUUUCAUUACAUGAUGUUUUCUAGGUGGAAGAUGAACCCUGUGUAUGAGAUUACAAUGUAUCAGCUGGUGAUUAGGAUUGUUAGAUGAAUCCAGUAAGUUCCUGAUGAACUCAACUGGUGAGCCUCUUUAGCAGCUAGUUCCAUGGACACACUGAUUUCAAUGUCCUUCACCAAGGUCAGAUGACUUUCAGUCAACAGUCUCUUUAGUGUAGCUUCACUCCGUAGCCCACAUACUAGUCUGUCUCUAAUGAUGUCAUUUACAACACCAUUCAACUCACAGUGUUCUGAUAGUUUCUUUAAUGCAGCAGCAAACAUUGGUACUGAUUCUCCCUCUUCCUGAUGUCUCCUGUGGAACCUGAACCUUUCAGCAUUAACUAGUGGUUCUGGUGAAAAAUGUCAUUGAAGUAUCUCCACAAUAUCCCCAUACGUCUUAUUACCUGUUCUGUCUGGCUGUAGCAGGCUGCCUAGUAAAUUACAUGUCUUUGGCCCCAUUACACAAAAAUGUCAUUUGCAGGAACAAAAUAUUCAAACCGUUCUGUAUAUGAGCUCUACUGCUCAAAACUUUCAUCAAACUGUCCAGUGUUUCCAACAAUUCCAGACAUGUUUCAUUUCUCAAUCAAUCAAAUUCAAUCAAAUGUAUUUCUAAAGCCCUUUUUACAUCAGCAGAUGUCACAAAUUGCUAUACAGAAACCCAGCCUAAAACCCCAAACAGCAAGCAAUGCAGAUGUAGAAGCACGGUGGCUAGGAAAAACUUCCUAGAAAGGCCAAAACCUAGGAAGAAACCUAGAGAGGAACCAGGCUCUGGAUGAUGGCCAGUCCUCUUCUGGCUGUGCCAGGUGGAGAUUAUAACAGAACAUGGCCAAGAUGUUCAAUUGUUUAUAAAUGACCAGCAGGGUCAAAUAAUAAUAAUCACAGUGGUUGUAGAGGGUUCAACAGGUCAGCACCUCAGGAGUAAAUGUCAGUUGGUUUUUCAUAGCCAAUUAUUCAGAGUUAGAAACAGCAGGUGUGGUAGAGAAAGAGCGAGUCGAAAACAGCAGGUCCGGGACAAGAUAGCACAUCUGGUCAAUAGGCUCCUGAUUGUCACUCACUUCAGUAUUGUCCUCAACAACAUCAAUAUUUUCCUCAGUCACGUGAUCUUCAUUCACUUCACUCAUUUAGCAGUUUUUAAUUCCAAAUUCAUCUUCACAGUUGAAUAAAUGUUCAUGCCUGUCACAACUCCUACCGAAGGUGGCCCCCCCUCCUGCUCGGGUGACGCUCGGCGGUCGUCGUCGCCGGCCUACUAGCUGCCACUACUAGCUGCCACUUUGAGAUAUCAGCUGAUGUAAGAAGGGCUAUAUAAAUACAUUUGAUUUGAUUUGCCAUUGAUUCCAUUUUUGUUUUCCCCCUUUUCGUUAUUGUUCUUAGUUGGGCUGAUUAGCAGGCUUUAUUAGCCAGUAGGCCCACCUUGUCUUUGUGUGGGAUUAUUUUCAUUGUAUGCUGUGCGUCUUUACACGCUGUUUGUUGCACAUUUUCAGUGGUGCGUAUGUUUGCGCAAGCUGUGUUUUGUCCCUUGUGUUUUGGGCACUUUGUUUUGCAGUGCUCUCUGUGCGCUGUUUGGGUUGGCUUGUCGUUUGGUCAGUGUGCCUAUUAACCUGUUUGGGAUUGAGGGCAGUAUUUUCACGGCCAGAUAAGAAACGUACCCGAUUUAA
rnacentral:lncRNA from 1 species